CACGUAGGAGGCGAGCGUUGUCCGGAAUCAUUGGGCGUAAAGAGCGCGCAGGCGGCCCGGCAAGUCGGGUGUGAAAUCCCGGGGCUCAACCCCGGGACUGUAUUCGAUACUGUCGGGCUAGAGGUAGGUAGGGGAGAUCGGAAUUCCUGGUGUAGCGGUGAAAUGCGCAGAUAUCAGGAGGAACACCGGUGGCGAAGGCGGGUCUCUGGGCCGAUACUGACGCUGAGGAGCGAAAGCAUGGGUAGCGAACAGG
rnacentral:rRNA from 1 species